rnacentral:rRNA from 1 species
UACGUAAGGUCCGAGCGUUGUCCGGAAUCAUUGGGCGUAAAGGGUACGUAGGCGGAUAAGCAAGUUAGAAGUGAAAUCCUAUAGCUCAACUAUAGUAAGCUUUUAAAACUGCUCAUCUUGAGGUAUGGAAGGGAAAGUGGAAUUCCUAGUGUAGCGGUGAAAUGCGCAUAUAUUAGGAGGAAUACCGGUGACGGAGGCGACCAUCUGGCCAUUAUCUGACGCUGAGGUACGACAGCGUUGGUAGCAAACAUG